rnacentral:rRNA from 1 species
AAUGAACGUUGGCGGCGUGGAUUAGGCAUGCAAGUCGAGCGAGAACCCAGCAAUGGGGGACGAGCGGCGAAAGGGAACGAGUAAUGUGUAGAUCAUCUGCCCUCCAGGCCCGGGGACGUAGCUGCGGGAAACGUAGCAGGUAAUACCGGAUAAUAUCUCCGGAUCAAAGGUGUGAUUCCGCCUGGGGAGUGAGUCUACAUCCUAUUAGCUAGUUGGUAGGGUAAGUGGCCUACCAAGGCAUUGAUGGGUAGCGGGUGUGAGAGCACGACCCGCGUCAUUGGGAC